rnacentral:rRNA from 1 species
GUGCUUACACAUGCAAGUCGAACGGAAAGGCCUCUUCGGAGGUACUCGAGUGGCGAACGGGUGAGUAACACGUGGGUGAUCUGCCCUGCACUCUGGGAUAAGCCUGGGAAACUGGGUCUAAUACCGGAUAGGACCAUGCUUUAGUGUGUGUGGUGGAAAGUUUUUUCGGUGUAGGAUGAGCCCGCGGCCUAUCAGCUUGUUGGUGGGGUAAUGGCCUACCAAGGCGGCGACGGGUAGCCGGACUGAGAGGUUGGUCGGCCACAUUGGGACUGAGAUACGGCCCAGACUCCUACGGGAGGCAGCAGUGGGGAAUAUUGCACAAUGGGCGCAAGCCUGAUGCAGCGACGCCGCGUGGGGGAUGACGGCCUUCGGGUUGUAAACUCCUUUCGCCAGGGACGAAGCGUUUUGUGACGGUACCUGGAGAAGAAGCACCGGCUAACUACGUGCCAGCAGCCGCGGUAAUACGUAGGGUGCAAGCGUUGUCCGGAAUUACUGGGCGUAAAGAGCUCGUAGGUGGUUUGUCACGUCGUCUGUGAAAUUCCACAGCUUAACUGUGGGCGUGCAGGCGAUACGGGCUGACUUGAGUACUGUAGGGGUAACUGGAAUUCCUGGUGUAGCGGUGAAAUGCGCAGAUAUCAGGAGGAACACCGAUGGCGAAGGCAGGUUACUGGGCAGUUACUGACGCUGAGGAGCGAAAGCAUGGGUAGCAAACAGGAUUAGAUACCCUGGUAGUCCAUGCCGUAAACGGUGGGCGCUAGGUGUAGGGACCUUUUGGGGUUUCUGUGCCGUAGCUAACGCAU